rnacentral:rRNA from 1 species
AGCGAACGCUGGCGGCAGGCUUAACACAUGCAAGUCGAACGGGCGUAGCAAUACGUCAGUGGCAGACGGGUGAGUAACGCGUGGGAACGUACCUUUUGGUUCGGAACAACCCAGGGAAACUUGGGCUAAUACCGGAUAAGCCCUUACGGGGAAAGAUUUAUCGCCGAAAGAUCGGCCCGCGUCUGAUUAGCUAGUUGGUGAGGUAACGGCUCACCAAGGCGACGAUCAGUAGCUGGUCUGAGAGGAUGAUCAGCCACAUUGGGACUGAGACACGGCCCAAACUCCUACGGGAGGCAGCAGUGGGGAAUAUUGGACAAUGGGCGCAAGCCUGAUCCAGCCAUGCCGCGUGAGUGAUGAAGGCCCUAGGGUUGUAAAGCUCUUUUGUGCGGGAAGAUAAUGACGGUACCGCAAAGAAUAAGCCCCCGGCUAAACUUCGUGCCAGCCGCCGCAGUAAC